GCCAACAUCAACCUUGGUUGCAGGGAACCCCCUGGUCUUGUCCAGAGGACCAGCAAUUUCAGUAGCACAAAUAACAUAAAAAAGGUCCAGCACUGGUGAGGACACAAUAAUAGGGGUUGCAUACUUACUGUAAAGAAAAAAUAAACAAACAGGAGUACUGAACCUUUUUUUACUUUAAAGGGCCACUAUAGUCAUCAGAACAACUAUAACGUAAUGUAGUUGUUAUGGUGUCUAUAGCAUGUCUCUGCAGGCAUUUUAAUAUAAACACUGUAUUUACAUUACUGCUUUCGGCCACAUCUAGAGACAGUUACUCCAUUAGAG